rnacentral:rRNA from 1 species
AGAGUUUGAUCCUGGCUCAGAGUGAACGCUGGCGGUGGGCCUAACACAUGCAAGUCGAACGGCAGCACAGGAGAGCUUGCUCUCUGGGUGGCGAGUGGCGGACGGGUGAGGAAUACAUCGGAAUCUACUCUGUCGUGGGGGAUAACGUAGGGAAACUUACGCUAAUACCGCAUACGACCUACGGGUGAAAGCAGGGGACCUUCGGGCCUUGCGCGAUUGAAUGAGCCGAUGUCGGAUUAGCUAGUUGGCGGGGUAAAGGCCCACCAAGGCGACGAUCCGUAGCUGGUCUGAGAGGAUGAUCAGCCACACUGGAACUGAGACACGGUCCAGACUCCUACGGGAGGCAGCAGUGGGGAAUAUUGGACAAUGGGCGCAAGCCUGAUCCAGCCAUACCGCGUGGGUGAAGAAGGCCUUCGGGUUGUAAAGCCCUUUUGUUGGGAAAGAAAUCCAGCUGGCUAAUACCCGGUUGGGAUGACGGUACCCAAAGAAUAAGCACCGGCUAACUUCGUGCCAGCAGCCGCGGUAAUACGAAGGGUGCAAGCGUUACUCGGAAUUACUGGGCGUAAAGCGUGCGUAGGUGGUCGUUUAAGUCCGUUGUGAAAGCCCUGGGCUCAACCUGGGAACUGCAGUGGAUACUGGGCGACUAGAAUGUGGUAGAGGGUAGCGGAAUUCCUGGUGUAGCAGUG